ACUCGGUAGCCAUAUUGGAAACAACUGCGAUCAGCGCUCCUAUCGGGCAGUGUUGUGUGUAACGUUGUUAGCCCAUUUGUUUACGUGUUUUGACGGUGAUUAUUUUGUGGUAAAUAAUUUAUAACGCGCAAUUGAGAUGGAUCCGCCGACAUAUGGUACGUGCGGCAGUAUAUGCGCAAUGUAUGGGUGCAGUAAUUACAGAGUUCAGAAGGAUGCCAAGUCAUUUUUUUCUUUCCCGAAGUCUGACAUCUAUAAAGAGUGGGUGCACAAAACAAAGAGAGCUGACCUUGAUGAAAGUGUCAAACUUAGAGGUCCAGAUUGUCUCAAAUAUUUGAAAGUGUGUGAAAUACAUUUCAAGGAUGAUGACUUUAGAAAUCCAAGAAAUAAAUCCCAAGGGUUAAAAAAAGGAGUUGUUCCAAGUCUACAUGUUUAUAAUGGAAGCACGAAGGUAGAUUCCAGGAGGAGUCCAAAGAAACGGCCUCGGUUGGAUACAUCAAGCCCCUCUAGAUGUUCAAACAGAACAAAUACACUGCCACAAAAUUGUGAAAAUUCAGGUAAAAUUCUGUGAUAUUUCCUCCUUCAAGAUUCCAGAUUUGUGUGUUAUUAAAUAGCAUAAUCAGUACCAAGUAUAAAACUCUUCAGUUGCUUAUGUACAAGGCCAUAUUCUAAUCAAUUUAAGUAUGCCAAUUGCUUCACAAAACUAAUUGUGCUUGUCAUAUCUUUCUGGUGUGGCCUUCUGAAAUAAAAAUUUUAAAUUUUUUCAAUGCCAAAUACAAUUGUAACUCUUGCUGGUCCAGCAAGUGUGCUCGAGGUCAGAGAAAAUACUUAAUUGCAGUUGUCAGUUUUUAUGUUGUGUACUGUACAGCAGCAGUUAACAAAUCAUUUGUGUUGGAAUUAUGUUUGUUUUCAUUGAAAUACUUGUCUGUUUUGCCUAAACCAAAACAUUAUUUUGUGGUGCAUGAUCACAUAGUAUUGAAAUGAUCUCUCACAUCUGCGAUCAAUAUUUACAAACUGGUUGGGCAGCGAAUAUAAUAAGCAGUCGGUGACUUAUAUUUUUUUUAUCAGAGUGACAAAUGUAACUUCGAUUGAAGUGGGAUGCAGUGCAAUUGUAAUUUAACUU